CCGAGAUCCAAAUUAUCUGCAGGGGUUAUUAGGGCAACUUUUCUAAAAUUUUUACACAGGGCAGCUUGUCUCUCCUUCUCGAACUCGAACUUACCAGUUUUACCGUCCAUCAAAAUCCCAUUGAUGUGGGGAAAAAGAAAAAUAUAAAUUAAUCACAUAAUUAUAUUUUAUUAUUAGUCAUUUGUGAUUAAUCCCCUAUUCUCUUGACUUAUCUUCUUUUUUACUUUUUAUCUUAUAUUUUAUUUUUCCUUUUCUAAUGCUUUUUUUCUCUAAUCCAGUAGGAGAGAUCAAACAGUAAAAAAUUAUUAUUUUUUAAAUAAAUAUAAUUAGUAGAAAUAAACUCGGAAAAGUUUAAAUUCUAUAAAAAGUAAAUCUCGACUUCCAUGUCAACUUUGCUUUCAAUUACUCUAUCGAAUUCUUCUCAGAUUAGAAAAUACGUUCGGUGAAAAAAAAAAAUUUCAAUUUGAGUAGUUCAUUUUAGGACUCAAACAAUAAAAUUUUGGCCCUUUUAAACUCCUAAGAGAUUAGCUUUAUAAUGUAGGUCUCAAAAAGUUAUUUAAUUUUAGAAAGAAAAAGAUCAUCACAAUCAACAAUCGUAUGACCAAAAUUUGGCCUAUUUUACUUUCUUAUUCAACCCUACUAUAGCUAUAUCUUCCCUUGUUCAGAUGAUUUAGCUCCUACUAAAGAUUUGCUUCACCAUCUCGCAGCUGAACCCCUACCUAAGGGGCCACCCCCUUAUCACCAGACCCCUCCCCUCCAACCGCCUCUCGAACCCCUCCGGCAUCCACCCCUCGCCGGCGGCCUCGCUCACCACCCAAACAACCGGGUGCCAGGCCAACUUCAACCCCAAUGCCAUGCCCUUCAGUUGCUCGCCGGAGAAGUGGCUCCAGCUUCCGAAGCAGACAUACACCACCGACUUUGGUUUCUUGGUGCCAAGCCAGAAGAGGCAGCGCUAGCGGUUGGCAGCGGCGGCUGGGUCGUCGCCCCCGCGGGCGGCGAGGUCACCGGCGUUGGCUGAGGCGAGCGCGACGGGCCCCACGAACCAGGACCGCAUGCGGUCGACUUUGAAGUAGAGGUCGGCGUAGGCGGACUCGAUCUCGGCGAAACUGUUGAAAAACGACACCGAGGCUUCCGGAUUCGCCUUCACUGAGGUCGUCCAUGGCGGCGGUGAUGGGGCUGUCGCCGCGGAGGAAGUCGGGGAGCUCGCGCCGGACCAUAUGGAUGGGGUGGGGAACGUAAGGGACAAGAAAGGGGUCGUCAUCGCUGGAGACAGCGAGGUGGGACUUGGGAGAGGCAGCGGAAGGCGCCCAUGACGCAGACGGGGAAGAGGCCGAGGGCGUGGAAGGAGAGGAGGGGGACGGCGAGGUCGCGCGCGAUGGCGGUGGUCCAGGGGACUAGGGCCAGGUGGGGAUCAGAGGAAGGCCCAGGUGUUAGGUCCUUCAGGGGAAAGCUGGGGGUGACACCUCACCCCACCUAAAAGAGCCUUACCGCUCUCCUUCCUCCCCAAGGACUUUCUAGGACGAUGGCUGAAGCACCGGAGCAGGAGGCACCGCAGUUCAUCCCCAGGUGAUUAAGGAUUUGUCACCUGGACUUAAGAAAUUUGGAAAGUGAAUUGAGAUCCUCACCACUGAUAGCUGUCAAAGACACUUACUUUUGUAUCAGGGCUUCUUUCGGGUAAAGCAAGUAUACUUUUGUGUACAUAAACUACAUAGAAACUCUGUAUUUGGGUACUGACCAGCAUAUUGUACUAAGAAUGCUUUCAUAUGAAAAGAUUUGGUUGGUUUGACUACCCUGUUACCCAUGUAUGAGGCUUCGUGCCAAUGGGGGAUGUUCAUAAUAAA